AUUUAAAUAGUUUAAUUAAAAUAUUAAUUUGUGGAAUUAAAGAUUAUUAUUUAUAUUUAAAU
rnacentral:tRNA from 2 species